rnacentral:rRNA from 1 species
CCCUUAGAUGUCCUGGGCUGCACGCGCGCUACACUGGAAGUUACGGAUUGAGAUACUACCUUGUCCGAAAUGGUCCGGGUAAUCACCUAAAAGCUUGUCAUAAUUGGAAUGGAUUAUUGUAACUAGUAAUCCUGAACGAGGAAUUCCUAGUAAGUCCCAGUCAACAGCUGGUACUGAUUACGUCCCUGCCCUUUGUACACACCGCCCGUCGCUACUACUGAUUGGACGUUUAAGCAAGAUUUUUAAACACUGACAGUGUGUAGUUCACGCUAUACUACAGCGAGAAGAAGAAGAUCGAGCUUACUUGUCUAGAGGAAGUAAAAGUCGUAACA